GGAGCUGUGGUGUAGAGGCCUAACAUGCCUGCCUGUCACGGCAGGAGACCGCGGGUUCGAAUCCCGUCAAAGGCUCCG
rnacentral:tRNA from 1 species